GCAGCCGCCGCGGGAAUACGUAGGGUGCGAGCGUUAAUCGGAAUUACUGGGCGUAAAGCGUGCGCAGGCGGUUCGUUAAGACAGAUGUGAAAUCCCCGGGCUCAACCUGGGAACUGCAUUUGUGACUGCAUGGCUAGAGUACGGUAGAGGGGGAUGGAAUUCCGCGUGUAGCAGUGAAAUGCGUAGAUAUGCGGAGGAACACCAGUGGCGAAGGCGGCUCACUGGACCGACACUGACGCUGAGGCGCGAAAGCGUGGGGAGCAAACAGGAUUAGAUACCCCUGUAGUCCCUGUCUCUUAUAC
rnacentral:rRNA from 1 species